AUUGAACGCUGGCGGCAGGCCUAACACAUGCAAGUCGAGCGGCAGCGGAAAGUAGCUUGCUACUUUGCCGGCGAGCGGCGGACGGGUGAGUAAUGUCUGGGAAACUGCCUGAUGGAGGGGGAUAACUACUGGAAACGGUAGCUAAUACCGCAUAACGUCGCAAGACCAAAGAGGGGGACCUUCGGGCCUCUUGCCAUCAGAUGUGCCCAGAUGGGAUUAGCUAGUAGGUGGGGUAACGGCUCACCUAGGCGACGAUCCCUAGCUGGUCUGAGAGGCUGAGCAGCCACACUGGAACUGAGACACGGUCCAGACUCCUACGGGAGGCAGCAGUGGGGAAUAUUGCACAAUGGGCGCAAGCCUGAUGCAGCCAUGCCGCGUGUAUGAAGAAGGCCUUCGGGUUGUAAAGUACUUUCAGCGGGGAGGAAGGUGUUGAGGUUAAUAACCUCAGCAAUUGACGUUACCCGCAGAAGAAGCACCGGCUAACUCCGUGCCAGCCGCCGCGGUAACAC
rnacentral:rRNA from 1 species